CGGGUCGUAAACUCCUUUCGAUCGAGACGAAUUCUUCCGGGGUGAACAAUCCCGGAAGUUGACGGUACCGAGAGAAGAAGCCCCGGCUAACUCCGUGCCAGCAGCCGCGGUAAUACGGGGGGGGCAAGCGUUGUUCGGAAUUACUGGGCGUAAAGGGCUCGUAGGCGGCCAACUAAGUCGGACGUGAAAUCCCUCGGCUUAACCGGGGAACUGCGUCCGAUACUGGAUGGCUAGAGUUCGGGAGAGGGAUGCGGAAUUCCAGGUGUAGCGGUGAAAUGCGUAGAUAUCUGGAGGAACACCGAUGGCGAAGGCAGCCCCCUGGGCUAACACUGACGCUCAGGCACGAAAGCGUGGGGAGCAAACAGGAUUAGAUACCCUGGUAGUCCACGCCCUAAACGAUGUCAACUGGGUGUUGGGGAAGCGAUUCCUCAGUACCGUAGCUAACGCGUGAAGUUGACCGCCUGGGGAGUACGGCCGCAAGGUUAAAACUCAAAGGAAUUGACGGGGACCCGCACAAGCGGUGGAUGAUGUGGAUUAAUUCGAUGCAACGCGAACAACCUUACCUACUCUUGACAUGUCUGGAAGCCCCUUGAGAGGGGGGUGUGCCCGAAAGGGAACCGGAACACAGGUGCUGCAUGGCUGUCG
rnacentral:rRNA from 1 species